UGGGCGCGGCGGCGUUUGGUACCUAACUGUGAACAUAGACCGAAAAUUUCUCUGGCAAAUCGUAACUUUCUCUCGUCGGUGAAGUACCUACUAUUGAUUAACUUGUAAAGAUUAUGUCGUGUCGCGUUCAUAUCGAAAGUCGAUGUUUUUUUUUCUCGUUUUAAAAAGUUAUAAAUGAAUAAAUAUGUUAUUACCGAAAAUGCGAUGGAGAAAUUUACUUCUUAGACUUCGUCUCAGCCACGAUCCAAGAUCCAAUUCAAUGUCAGCGACCACCAAUAACUAGAUAAGAUGGCCCACGGCCUACGUAAUUAUUAGAAAUUUUUUAAUAUUUUAAAAAAUAACUUUAAAAAAAUAAAAUAUUCCUUACCUUUAAAUUAGGUUGAUAAGCAAUAAUGAAUGAUCAAAAUCGUAUCACGAUGGCGCAGGUUGUGCAUGCAAUCACGAAUUGCUAGCAAAAUUUCCUAUCGUGGAUCGUCGCAAUUAGCAAAGGUCUUAAUGACAAGCGCGAAAAUUGCGACGUUGCCACUUUUUUGAUAGACUAAAAUUUACCUAGCGGGUAAUGAGAAAAGUCUAUUUUUUAAAAUUGUAAAAAAUAAAUAUUGAUAAUAUAAAAUAAAUUAAAUAGUAUUUUUCAGCUUGUGUAUUUUUAGUUUAUUUGGUAGCCCUUGAAAGGUAUUCCGGGGUAAAAUACGUGAAAUGCUCCUGUCCUGGGAUUUUUGAAAUUUUGACGAAACAUUCAUUAUUGCACGGAAAAAAAAAUUAAUAAAAAUUACUAUUUCAGUAUAGUAACCGGAUCCCAUUCAAAAAUAAUAGUGAUUUUUACUCAGCCAAAAAAUACAUUUUAUCUAGAAUUAGGUAAAAAUUUAUUACUCUCAUAGUAAAAUUUAUUAUUCUCAUAGUAAAAAUCACAAUAUUUUUGAAUGGGAUCCGGUUACUGUAUGAAAUAGUAAAAAUUAUCCAUACUUUUUUUUUCCGUGUGGGUACCUUUAAAAAAAUGUUGCAGCCAAAAACAUUUCCCCACCCCACGCCGCAAGAUGCAUUUAAAGUAAAAAAAAGUCAUACUUCAACGAACUUUGAAUUCACCCACAAUAUAUGGAAGAGACAUGAGUCUGCACCGUGAAUUUUUUUCAACAUUUUUUGGCCUCCCAGGAGGGAGAUAACUAUCGACAACAGAAGAUUUGAAACCAUCGUAUCUUCAAACCCAAUUCUAGUAGCUACACAAAUUUUUUUUCUUUCGAAAAUAUAUUUGCGUGAGUACUAUAGUUGGUAUUUUUUUUUCAAAUUUCUUUUUCAGUAGACCAUCUUCAAAAACUCAGAAAACACUCAAAAAUGUGUUUUUUGUAUCACGGCACCGCCAAAAUAAGCGAUACUGGCAGUGAUAGGUAGGUAUAAUUAUGCAAUUUUGCAUGCAGGCUUCCAAAAAAAAGAAAACCAAACAACUCAUUGAAAACCCAAUUUUGGGGCCAUAGGCACCCCUCCCCCAAUUUAGUGGCAAAAUAAAAUUGUCAAUAUGGCUAUCGUUAUCAUCUGAAUCGCAUUUUUCACAAAAAGUCUAAUUUUUGGGCAUUCCUCUCCACCAAUGGAACCUUUAAGAGGGUUCAACUGUAAAUCCAAUUUCAUUUUCGUGUUCAGCAAGUUCGAUUCAGAUGAUAACGAUAGCCAUAUUGACAAUUUUAUUUUGCCGCAAAAUUGGGGGAGACGAUGCCUAUGGCCCCAAGGGUUUUCAAGAAGUUGCUUGGUUUUCUAUUUUUUUUUUUUUUUUUUGGAAACCUGCAUGCAAAAUUACAUAAUUAUACCUAUCACUGGCAGUAUCGCUUAUUUUGGCGGUGCCGUGAUACAAAAAACACAUUUUUGAGUGUUUUCUGAGUUUUUGAAGAUGGUCUACUGAAAAAGAAAUUUGAAAAAAAAAUACCAACUAUAGUACUCACGCAAAUAUAUUUUCGAAAGAAAAAAAUUUUGUGUAGCUACUAGAAUUAGGUUUGAAGAUACGAUGGUUCAAAUCUUCUGUUGUCGAUAGUUAUCUCCCUCCUGGGAGGCCAAAAAAUGUUGAAAAAAAUUCACGGUGCUAUACUCAUGUCUCUUCCAUAUAUUGUGGGUGAAUUCAAAAUUCGUUGAAGUAUGACUUUUUUUUUACUUUAAAUACAUCUUGCGGGGUGGGGUAGGGGAAAUGUUUUUGGCUGCAACAUUUUUUUAAAGGUACCCAACGGAGCAUUUCAUGUACUUUGCCCCGGAAUACCUUUCAAGGGCUACCUAAGAAGGAACCUGAAAAUAUGCUGAAAUGCGAUUUAAUUUAUUUUAUAUCAUCAAUAUUUUCACAUCAUGAAUAAAUUUUAUGCUGUUUUAAUCAAUCUUUGUCUUAUCUUUUUGUCUGUCUUUUUUUGUCAAUUUAUGUUGUAUUUGUCAAAUUUUAAUGAUAUUAUAAAUCAACUUUAUUUUUGAACUAUUUUCUUGUUAUUGUUUCAUGUAAAUUCAAAAGUAUUUUUUGGCUGAUAUGUCGGAGUUUAUUUUUGAUUUUCUAGUACCUACUUAAUAACAAAAAUGUUUGUAAAAAUAAACAAAUAAAUUUUACAAAUGGGAA